AGCUCUGUAAGCGUAUACCAAAGUUGUUGCAGUUAAAACGCUCGUAGUCGGAAUUUGGCAGUUCCGGAAGUGUGCACGUCGUGUGCGCACUUUGCGGGGACUGCUUUUGUGGUCUUGCGUAGGAUGAGGCACUUUUAUUAGUGAACGUCCUCACGCAACCACUCUUUACUGUGAGAAAAUCAGAGUGCUCAAAGCAGGCAUUUGCCGUGAAUGUAUUAGCAUGGAAUAAUAGAAUAGGACUCGGUUCUAUUUUGUUGGUUUGUUGGGACUGAGUAAUGAUUAAGAGGGACAGUUGGGGGCAUUUGUAUUCCGGCGCUAGAGGUGAAAUUCUUAGAUUGCCGGAAGACAAACUGCUGCGAAAGCGUCUGCCAAGGAUGUUUUCAUUGAUCAAGAACGAAAG
rnacentral:rRNA from 1 species